CCCCGAAGUUGUAUCAUCCGUCCCUCGUCCAUUUACACUAUAUACUCAUCUUCCAAACAUGAGAUCGGUAACCGGUCAUGAUAAACAUGUAUCACUUGUGGGUUAUGGCGCGCGUAAAAUCGACAAUUUUCCUCUACAACUUCAGUAAUUUUCGGAUAAUGAAUAAUUGAAUUAAUAAAACGGAAUAUUCAACGCUGAAUCAUCACUUAUUUCUUGCUCAAUCUUCUCGUCUCCAAUCGUUCGUUAUUCAAAUUUAUAAAAAUUCGGUGGUACAAUAAAUGAAUAUAUGAGAGUCUGAGGAUAUUUAUUUAAAAUAUUGUUCAUAAAUACAAAAAUCUGUACUCAGGUUAAUAUAAAGUAUACAAUCGUUGUUGCAAUUAAGUGGAAAACAUGUAUUAUAUGAUAAUGAGGAUCGUUUAAGAAUAUUCGAUAGAUUGAUCUAGUACCUGUUGCCCGUUUCUCCGGAAAUCUAUACACACAAUUCAAAUUCCAUGUUGGCAUACAAGCACAUGGUAAUGCUGACAAUCAUCAAUUACUAUUAAGACAAUUCAAUUUCGAUAUUCAAGUGAUAAUCAUGCUCAGUCCAAAGAUGCAAAAAACUGUCAGGGUAAACGAUUCGCAGAUACUUAUGCUAUCUGAAAGAGCCCAUUUCGAUCAUUCCCUCGCUGGUUAUUUACACAAACGUAACGCUGACUCGAACAAGUGGCAACUU